rnacentral:scRNA from 1 species
UUCAUGACUUUGCGGUACUUCUCAUAGGCUUCGGAU